rnacentral:misc_RNA from 1 species
GAUGAAGAACGUAGCGAAAUGCGAUAAGUAAUGCGAAUUGCAGAAUCCGUGAGUCAUCGAAUCUUUGAACGCACAUUGCGCCCCUUGGUUAUUCCGAAGGGCAUGCCUGUUCGAGCGUCAUUAUCACCCCUCAAGCCCUGGCUUGGUGUUUGACUUUAGUUAUAGCUUUGCCUAUCAACUGGUCUCAAAGAUAGUGACGGCGCCCCAGAGGGAACCGGGUACGAGGAGCUUUUUACUAAGCAUGUAUCUGGGACGACUCUGAUGGGCGACGGUCUUGUUAUACUUUUUACCUAAGUGUUGACCUCGGAUCAGGUAGGAAUACCCGCUGAACUUAAGCAUAUCAAUAAGCGGAGGA